GAUGAACGCUGGCGGCGUGCCUAAUACAUGCAAGUCGAGCGAACAGACGAGGAGCUUGCUCCUCUGACGUUAGCGGCGGACGGGUGAGUAACACGUGGAUAACCUACCUAUAAGACUGGGAUAACUUCGGGAAACCGGAGCUAAUACCGGAUAAUAUAUUGAACCGCAUGGUUCAAUAGUGAAAGACGGUUUUGCUGUCACUUAUAGAUGGAUCCGCGCCGCAUUAGCUAGUUGGUAAGGUAACGGCUUACCAAGGCAACGAUGCGUAGCCGACCUGAGAGGGUGAUCGGCCACACUGGAACUGAGACACGGUCCAGACUCCUACGGGAGGCAGCAGUAGGGAAUCUUCCGCAAUGGGCGAAAGCCUGACGGAGCAACGCCGAGUGAGUGAUGAAGGUCUUCGGAUCGUAAAACUCUGUUAUUAGGGAAGAACAAAUGUGUAAGUAAAUAUGCACGUCUUGACGGUACCUAAUCAGAAAGCCACGGCUAACUACGUGC
rnacentral:rRNA from 1 species